rnacentral:lncRNA from 1 species
AGGGCAUUUGUGCCUUAAUUUCCAGGAGCUGGAUUGAGGUAAGUUUGCACCUAUGGAUGAUCCACGGCAGCUUUCUAAACUCGAUCUGGAGGAGAAAAAGGAGAGGAUGGAUGAAUAUGAGCAAAGAGCUGUCCUUAGCCAGCAAGACCCAGUAACCACAGAGCAAACAAAAAUUGCUGCUUUGGAGACACCAGCAAGCGCUUUCUGACGUUACGGGCUUCAGCUGCUGCAGAAACUUUAUUUGGAACCAGCAAUUAAACCAGGAAAAGAUGAGUGAGAAGCAGCAUAUCAAGAUACCCCAGAUUUUUGUUUGCCAUCCAUCUCCUUUUGUCCCUGAUUUUCUGAAAAAAAAAUUAAAAAAAAUCCCCCUCUCCUUUGCCUGCCAGAGGUCCCAAAAUGUAUUAAACACAAGACAGCCAUGUCCACACCCUUGCACAGGUCCGGCGGCAGAGACAAGGUGGGAGCCAGCCCCAAAGCUCAGGGUCUGCGCGGCAGGCUCCAGGGUGCUCCAGAAGACGCGCUGCUGUACCCCACAUGGGCCUGCGGCAGGCUGAGCACACCGUGCUGGCACGCAGGCUCCAGCAGGCUGUG